GAAUGUGUUUGUGUAGGCGUGAGUGGCAGUGUGUAUGCAUAUAUGUAUGUAUGUAUGUAUGUAUAUAAUGUGUUUGUAUGUAUGUAUGUAUGUAUGUAUGCAUGUACGUAUAUGUAUGCAUGUAUGUAAUGUAUGUAUGCAUAUGCGUUUGCAGUGUUUAGGAACGUAAAGGAAAUAUAGACAUCUGCUUUAUGACAAAAUAUAAGACUGGUUGUUUGCAUUUUGACGUUGCUAAAGAAUUUAACAAGCAUUGGUUUGUUAUCGGCAAACU